rnacentral:lncRNA from 1 species
CAACCCCAGCCUCAGCCAGGACAAGAGCUCUGAAUUGACCAUCCAUCCACCCCUGAACCCCAGCCGGACAAGAGCUCCUGAAUCGACCCUUCAUCCACCCCUCAACCCAGCCUCAGCCAGGAAAGAGCUCCUGAAUCAACCAUCCAUCCACCCCUCAACCCCAGCCUCGGCAGGACAGAGCUCCUGAAACGACCACCAUCCACACCCUCAACCCCGCCUCAGCCAGGACAAGAGCUCCAGAAUCGACCAUCCAUCCACCCUCAACCCCAGCCUCAGCCAGGACAAGAGAUCCUGAAUCCACCAUCCAUCCACCCCUCAACCCCCGCCUCAGCCAGGACAAGAGCUCCUGAAUCGACCAUCCAUCCACCCCUGAACCCCAGCCAGGACAAGAGCUCCUGAAUCGACCCUUCAUCCACCCUCAACCCCAGCCUCAGCCAGGACAGAGCUCCUGAAUCACCAUCCAUCCACCCCUCAACCCCAGCCUCGGCCAGGACAAGAGCUCCUGAAUCGACCAUCCAUCCACCCUCAACACCAGCCUCAGCCAGGACAAGAGCUCCUGAUCGACCCUCCCUCCGUCCAUCCACCCCUCAACCCAGCCUCAGUCAGGAAAAGAGCUCCUGAAUCGUCCAUCCACCCCUCAACCCCAGCCUCGGCCAGGACAAGAGCUCCUGAAUCGACCCUCCAUCCACCCCUCAACCCCAGCCUCAGCCAGGAUAAGAGGUCCUGAAUCGACCCUCCAUCCACCCCUCAACCCCAGCCUCAGCCAGGAUAAGAGCUCCUGAUGCAGAGAAACACCAAAACCAUUUUAAUGCUUUCUCUCUUUGUAUUAUUCUGAGAUCAGUGUUCUUCAUGAUAAUGAACCAGCUGUGUAGUGCUAGGGCAAAAAACUAAAUGUGCACUCAGUGGGGGCCCCUGGACCAAGUUUGGGAAACCCUGCCCUAGAGAAGAACCGUAUAGACAGGAGAUUUAGCAACUCUUGGAGGACAAUCGAAUUAAAUAAAAUAAAUUAAAUAUAUUGUUAAAAGUGGAACCAACACGUUUCAGCUUUUGGCCUUUAAACAAA